rnacentral:lncRNA from 1 species
CUCUGUAAGGUCUUUUCUUAGUUUACCCAUAUAGUAUUUAAUUCUUCGUCAUUAAUACAUAACUCAUUUGUCUCUCUUAUAAAGUUUCUUACUUCUUAUAUCUAGGCCGGUUGUAAGCUUAUAAUCCGCUUCUGCUCUCUCUACUCUCAUCUCUCCUCUACCUCAUUAUUUAGUUGUCUUAGAGUCAACUUACUAUACUUGCUCCUAGGCCAGUCUCAAUGAAUCAUCACAUCACUGCAUGCUCACCCAGAUUCAAUGUGGUUGGUGACUUCAUAUCUGCUUGGUUGUGGGGAACUGAAAAGUCUGAAAUUGAGAUGAGCAGUCGAGCUAAGCGAG